ensembl:lncRNA
GGAGUAAGCAGUUUUAUUUCCAUUGCACAAUCAGGGAAAACUGAUGAACCAACACAAUAAGGUACAAUUUCCUGAAAUGAUUAGUAAGCUGGGAUGCUCCUUUUGGGCAAAACCUAAGUGGAGAUCAGAAAGUCAGCUGAUCUUUGAGAUAAUGGUGAGCAUCUGCACCUGGAAAACCAGAUAUUCUGAAGGGUCUGCUCUCAGUACUCAAGAAGGAGGAGGUAACAAAGCCUUCUUGUCCGUCCUGUAUCUGUUGGCUUGUAUGAUGGUCAUGCAGAUAUUAUUAGCCUCAUUAUUGUGGCCACGGACGAAUAUGGAUUUGAGGAUUCUCACUGCUCUGCACACUUGUCAAACAAAUGCAAAGAAUGGUCCUUUGUUCUGAAAAUUUCUUCACAUAAUCACUGGGGUAAAAAUGGGGCAAAGCAAAGUGAGUGUUGUCCACCUCCAAGAUGCAGGGAGAAUGGUACUACCUGCUCAGCUGCUGUUGGGCUGUAGGUUCUUGGCUACUUUGAAGAAGAGGAGGGAGCUGCCAGGAAACACAGGGCAGACUUUGCAGUGAUUUGUUGGGAAUUUUUCCCAUUUUCCCACAUGGCAGGAAAAGUGAUGUGAAAAGAGAUUGUUGGAAAAAGUGGACCAGAUGGGGCUGGCCCCAUCUCCCCCACCUGCCUAGCAACUUUGGAGAAGGUUUGGGAAGCAACACAAAACCAUUUUCUUUCUCCUCCAGCCUCUUCCCUUCUCCCAGGCCAUAACCUGAAUGUUUGUCUCCUUCCAACUGUCUUUCUUCUGUUGCAACUCCAGCAGCGUAUCCUGGCACUUUCUGAAGUGAAGUCAGAUUUUGGCAGCAUCCCUUCAGCUCUGAUGAAAGUUACAACGGGGAGGGAAUGUAAAUAUGCUGAAGGACAGAUUAUACAGUCACAGCUUUUGGGGUCGGCAUGUCAGAAGUCCUGAAGACAGAGUCGUUAUCCUCCCCUUUGUUCUUCCUGGCUAACUAUUCUUUACGUGGUCAGAGUGACCUACCGUACCGUCAGUCAUGUCAGCUCCUAAGUGGUUUAAGAUAAGUGUCCCUUGAUCACAACGGAAAGUGUGUGGAGAUUUUCCAAGAAAUAAGUGUUUUGAAAAAAUGCCUAUGGCUGGACUGUGCUGAAAUUCUAUGCUCAAAUGUAAAUAUAAUUGGAGCAUAAAGCAAUAAAUUUUUUCAAGCACCAACAUAAAAUAACUGCUAAGAAGGAGUAAAAAAAUCAGACUGAACUUUAAUGACCUUUGUGUAUGUAUAUUUGAUAAUAUAGCAUCUCUAGCCAAG